AUUGAACGCUGGCGGCAGGCCUAACACAUGCAAGUCGAACGGUAACAGGAAGAAGCUUGCUUCUUUGCUGACGAGUGGCGGACGGGUGAGUAAUGGCUGGGAAACUGCUUGAUGGAGGGGGUUAACUACUGGAAACGUUAGCUAAUACCGUAUAACUUCGACAGACCAAAGAGGGGGACCUUCGGGCCUCUUUCCAUCGGAUGUGCCCAGAUGGGAUUAGCUAGUAGGUGGGGUAACGGCUCACCUAGGCGACGAUCCCUAGCUGGUCUGAGAGGAUGACCAGCCACACUGGAACUGAGACACGGUCCAGACUCCUACGGGAGGCAGCAGUGGGGAAUAUUGCACAAUGGGCGCAAGCCUGAUGCAGCCAUGCCGCGUGUAUGAAGAAGGCCUUCGGGUUGUAAAGUACUUUCAGCGGGGAGGAAGGGAGUAAAGUUAAUACCUUUGCUCAUUGACGUUACCCGCAGAAGAAGCACCGGCUAACUCCGUG
rnacentral:rRNA from 1 species